rfam:Triticum aestivum genome assembly, contig: Triticum_aestivum_CS42_TGACv1_scaffold_030726_1BL
UAUAUACUCCAUCCGUCCCAAAAUUUUUGUCUUAGAUUUGUCUAGUCUUAGAUUUGUCUAAGUACGAAUGUAUCAAGUCACGUUUUAGUAUUAGGUACAUCCGUAUCUAGACAAAUCUAAGACAAGAAUUUUGGGACGGAGGGAGUAGUUG